rnacentral:other from 1 species
UAUCCCCUGUGUGGUUUGUGAUGGGUCCAAUUGUUGUAGAACCAACAGCAAUUAUUCGGGAGUCUUUUCUUCCUCGAGCUUGUGCCAGCCCCGACACCGACGGGGACGCUAAUGGCCCGAGGAGCGGACACCCACCUGGUGAGGACUAGGUUCUAAACCAGAAGAUCCACACGGCUUCACGGGGGAUGC